rnacentral:rRNA from 1 species
ACGAGAUUGUUUUAGCAAUAGAACAUGAAAGUGGCGCACGGGUGCGUAACACGUAUGCAAUCUACCUCUAAUAGGGAAAUAGCUUCGAGAAAUCGGAAUUAAUGUCCCAUAACAUAUUCGAAUGGCAUCAUUUGAAUAUCAAACCUCCGGGGAUUAGAGAUGAGCAUGCGCAACAUUAGCUAGUUGGUAAGGUAAUGGCUUACCAAGGCUACGAUGUUUAGGGGGUCUGAGAGGAUGAUCCCCCACACUGGUACUGAGACACGGACCAGACUCCUACGGGAGGCAGCAGUAGGGAAUAUUGGUCAAUGGAGGCAACUCUGAACCAGCCAUGCCGCGUGCAGGAUGACGGCCCUCUGGGUUGUAAACUGCUUUUAUACGGGAAGAAAAAAUACUACGUGUAGUAUAUUGACGGUACCGUAAGAAUAAGGAUCGGCUAACUCCGUGCCAGCAGCCGCGGUAAUACGGAGGAUCCAAGCGUUGUCCGGAUUUAUUGGGUUUAAAGGGUGCGUAGGCGGAUCUUUAAGUCAGUGGUGAAAGCCUGCAGCUCAACUGUAGAAUUGCCAUUGAAACUGAAGAUCUUGAAUUAGGUUAAAGUAGGCGGAAUGUAUCAUGUAGCGGUGAAAUGCUUAGAUAUGAUACAGAACACCGAUAGCGAAGGCAGCUUGCUGAACCUAUAUUGACGCUGAGGCACGAAAGCGUGGGGAGCGAACAGGAUUAGAUACCCUGGUAGUCCACGCCCUAAGCGUUGAUUACUCGUUGUUGGCGAUAUACAGUCAGCGACCAAGCUAAAGCGUUAAGUAA